GUUUUUACGAUAAUAUGUAAAGUUUGGCCUGCCCACUGAAAUUUUUAAAGGGCCGCGGUAAUUUGACCGUGCGAAGGUAGCAUAAUCAAUAGUCUUUUAAUUGAAGGCUGGAAUGAAUGGUUGGACAAGAAGCAUUCUGUCUCGUUUAUAAGAAUUGAAUUUAACUUUUAAGUGAAAAGGCUUAGUUGAUUUAAGGGGACGAUAAGACCCUAUAAAACUUUAUAUUAAUAUGUUAGUUUUUGAAUUUAAGUUUAAAGUAUACUAGUAUUAGGAAUAUUGUGUUGGGGCGACAAGAAUAUAAUUGUAACUGUUUGUUAAUUGAAAUAGAUGUUUUUAGAGAGUUUUGAUCCUUUAGUAGGGAUUAUAAGAAUAAGUUACUUUAGGGAUAACAGCGUUAUUUUUUCUGAGAGUUCUUAUCGACGAAAGUAGUUGCGACCUCGAUGUUGAAUUAAAGUUUCAGUGGGGUGUAGAAGUUCCGCGGGUAGGUCUGUUCGACCUUAAAAACUUUACAUGAUUUGAGUUCAAACCGGUGUGAG
rnacentral:rRNA from 1 species